AUUGAACGCUGGCGGCAUGCCUUACACAUGCAAGUCGAACGGCAGCACGGGAGCAAUCCUGGUGGCGAGUGGCGAACGGGUGAGUAAUAUAUCGGAACGUGCCCAGUCGUGGGGGAUAACGUAGCGAAAGCUACGCUAAUACCGCAUACGAUCUAUGGCUGAAAGCGGGGGAUCGCAAGACCUCGCGCGAUUGGAGCGGCCGAUAUCAGAUUAGGUAGUUGGUGAGGUAAAGGCUCACCAAGCCGACGAUCGGUAGCUGGUCUGAGAGGACGACCAGCCACACUGGGACUGAGACACGGCCCAGACUCCUACGGGAGGCAGCAGUGGGGAAUUUUGGACAAUGGGCGCAAGCCUGAUCCAGCAAUGCCGCGUGCAGGAUGAAGGCCUUCGGGUUGUAAACUGCUUUUGUACGGAACGAAACGGCGAGCUCUAAUACAGUUUGCUAAUGACGGUACCGUAAGAAUAAGCACCGGCUAACUACGUGCCAGCAGCCGCCGUAACAC
rnacentral:rRNA from 1 species